rnacentral:lncRNA from 1 species
UUUUUUUUUUUUGUGAGCAACUUAUUGCAUUGAAAUGACAUACUUGAUAUCUAGUUGCAGUUAUAGCUGGUAAUUUUGCUGUGGCAUCACUAUAGAGUUUGGUAUCAAAGUUGGGAUUGUUCAAAUUUAAAGCGAAACUCUACUGAAAACUUUUUUAAACAUGAGAAACAAGAAGCUAACCAUGUUUCAAUAAUCAUACAUAACACAAUAGCUUUACAGGUCCUAAACUAAGUUUAACAUCCAACCUCUAAUUCCAAUUGAUGACUAAACAAACAUAUCAACACUAGAUUGCCUUUUUCCAGCAACACCAUUUGAGCUACUGCAACAUUUUGAGUCCCUGUCCUACAUGCCUCUUUUGGGCAUUAUCACUAAAUGCUGCCACUAAUAAAAUGUAGUAUUCGAACACUACCAACAGAAACAGUUUCAUCCUUUUUUCCCAACUUUUUAAUUUCUUUCUUCAUGUCUAUGUUCUUCCUCUCGGCUUGUCUUAGCUCUAGUAGCAAUUUCACUAUCACGUUUUUGGUGUACUCCGACAUGGCAGGAUCGUGCCAUAAAAAGAAAUAGCAAGCAUGGUGUGUCUACAAAUUAUCAUAUAUUCUAUGAUUAGUAAUACAAAAAAAAAAAGAAUUUGUUUAAAAAAAGGAAUGAACCCAAAUAAAUCCUAUUCUAGUUGGUCAUAUUACGCCGUAAUUUCUACAUCCAUAAAACCUUCUUGAUGAAUUUGCUGCAAUCCACGAGCUAACUAUUUUGCAUACUUCUUGGCAGCAGCACUUCACCUUGUCAUCUCCAUUAUAGCUUUCAACCUAUCCUCAGAUGAAUCUUUCAAGAGUCAAAGUGCGAUAUGUCUCAUUCUUUGGAUCUCCAUUGGUGGCUGAACUGGAUAACCCCUCAUCCAUAUUUCUUCUUCUAUUAUGCAUUCAAAAAGAGGAAUUUGAAGACAUUUUGGAAUGGGAUCUGCUCAAGACCCUAAUUUGGCUAAAUUGGGCUACACCUCAUCUCGUCAUUGCCUUUAUAUCAUCUUCCAUCUAGGUUUUCAUUUGUUAUUUUUAAUUUUUGAAGCACUAAAAUGAUCUUGGCAUGAAUUGCCUAAAAAGCCCCAAAAUGGACCGCCGUCUAUUCGAAUAAAAGACAUGUUUGGGGCGGCGCCGCGACACACGUCCUUAAUGGGCAUAUAUAUUUUACUUCGAGGACUAAUUGCAUGUAAAAAAACUUUAAAAGACUAAAUUGGCAUUAGUGAAAAUGUUUAGGGACCAUUUUGGUAAUUUUCUCAAAAUUCAGUCAGAUGCCAUGAGAAACCAGUGGAUACCCUCUUCUUUUUCAUUGUGCUGAGCUAGAUUUUGUUUGACUAACCAGUCGUAAUUCCUAAUUCAUUCCUGAACCGCUCACGCCAACCGUUCGCCACCACAAUUAACGCAUGGGUAUCCACUGGUUUCUCAUGGCAUCUGACCGAAUUUUGAGAAAAUCGCCAAAAUGGUCCCUAAACAUUUUCACUGAUGCCAAUUUAGUCUCUUAAAGUUUUUUUUACAUGCAAUUAGUCCUCGAAGUAAAAUAUAUAUGCCCAUUAAGGACGUGUGUCGCGGCGCCGCCCCAAACAUGUCUUUUAUUCGAAUAGAUGGCAGUCCAUUUAGGGGCUUUUUGGGCAAUUCAUGCCAAGAUCAUUUUAAUGCUUCAAAAAUUAAAAAUAACAAAUGAAAACCUAGAUGGAAGAUGAUAUAAAGGCAAUGACGAGAUGAGGUGUAGCCCAAUUUAGCCAAAUUAGGGUCUUGAGCAGAUCCCAUUCCAAAAUGUCUUCAAAUUCCUCUUUUUGAAUGCAUAAUAGAAGAAGAAAUAUGGAUGAGGGGUUAUCCAGUUCAGCCACCAAUGGAGAUCCAAAGAAUGAGACAUAUCGCACUUUGACUCUUGAAAGAUUCAUCUGAGGAUAGGUUGAAAGCUAUAAUGGAGAUGACAAGGUGAAGUGCUGCUGCCAAGAAGUAUGCAAAAUAGUUAGCUCGUGGAUUGCAACAAAUUCAUCAAGAAGGUUUUAUGGAUGUAGAAAUUACGGCGUAAUAUGACCAACUAGAAUAGGAUUUAUUUGGGUUCAUUUCUUUUUUUAAACAAAUUCUUUUUUUUUUGUAUUACUAAUCAUAGAAUAUUUGAUAAUUUGCAGACACACCAUGCUUGCUAUUUCUUUUUAUGGCACGAUCCUCCCAUGUCGGAGUACACCAAAAACGUGAUAGUGAAAUUGCUACUAGAGCUAAGACAAGCCGAGAGGAAGAACAUAGAAAUGAAGAAAGAAAUUAAAAAGUUGGAAAAAAAAGGAUGAAAGUGUUUCUGUUGGUAGUGUUCGAAUACUACAUUUUAUUAGUGGCAACAUUUAGUGAUAAUGCCCAAAAGAGGCAUGUAGGACAGGGACUCAAAAUGUUGCAGUAGCUCAUAUGGUGUUGCUGGAAAAAUGCAAUCUAGUGUUGAUACGUUUGUUUAGUCAUCAAUUGGAAUUAGAGGUUGGAUGUUGAACCUAGUUUAGGACCUGUAAAGCUAUUGUGUUAUGUAUGACUAUUGAAACAUGGUUAGCUACUUGUUUCUCAUGUUUCAAAAAGUUUUCAGUAGAGUAUCGCUUUAAAUUUGAACAAUCCCAACCUUGAUACCAAACUCUAUAGUGAUGCCACAGCAAAAUUACCAGCUAUAACCGCAACUAGAUAUCAAGUAUGUCAUUUCAAUGCAAUAAGUUGCUCACAAAAAAAAAAAAAAAAAAGUCUGCAGAGUUUUGCUUUCGUUUUUAAGAAUCCUAAUCAGCAACCAAAUACAUAAUACGUUAACUUUUUCUAGGUAACAACCUGAGUACUAAAAAAUUUCAGAACCUGCCAAUGAGUAUCAGUCCAACCAUUAACAAAAAAGGAUAUGUUCAUGUAAGUUGGACAUGAUCAUAUAGUACCAAAAUAACAAUGCAAUUCCAGCAAACUAAAUUGUUCCAACUAAUAUGAUUUAACUAGGGAACUAGGAUACAUGUUCUAGUAGUAGGCUCACAAAAAAUUUUCAGUCAAAAUACAUAAGUAGGCUCAAACUAAUUGAUCAGUCCAUAUAUUCUGGAUGAAUUAUGUUGAUUAGCAUUGGGUGUGAGCUAUUGUAGCUACUUGAUAUUACUCAUAACCAACUAGAUGGUCUUUAGUUUUGGGUUCGUUCUCCUCAUCUGGUUCAUCUAUGAGCCUAUGUGCUUAUAUAAGCAUGCAAGUAUAAGUGCUAUCAUAAAGAAACCAUGCAAAGUAGAAGCCAUUUUUCAUCUCUUAAACUCACCCUCUGCUUUAUCCUCUAUUUUUUCCAACUGACUCAACAUAUGGACCAUAAGCAUCCAUAGAUGCCUUCCGUAUUCUCCAAGAUUGUGCUUAAUGUGAGGGACAUGUUUUCCUAUUAUGUCCUAGAGCUCAACAAAAUGUGCUUUUUAUAGUCGCUGUCUUUUGUUCAAGAACUUGACUAGGAGCUGAAGGUGUAAGCUCUAUUGUUUCAGCAGGUUGUAGAAUUUCAGUCUGUUGCACAUCAAUCUACAAGAAAAAAAAUUAGUGGCAAUAUAGAUACAAUUAACAUGUAAGUUGUCAUUUAGGUAUGUAGCAACUAUAUUCUUCAUCUCCAGCAGCUUGUUUUUCAACUGUAUAGCCUUGCCAAGCAUGAUGUUCAUGAGCUUUUGGUUGUUUUUCAAUAGCUGGUUGUGCAUUAGACACCUCAGGUUCUGGCCCCUCUAUAAAAAGAGAAAACAUCAACAAAAUGUACUUAAUAUUACUCAAAAUAGUGUAGGAGUUUGCUAGGAAUAAUAAACCAGCUGUUGAAGUAUUUAACCCAUUUGCAACUGCACAAAUUUUCUUGCUGUUAUGGAUUUUUGGGCAAGUUUGUGACAGCCCCACCUUCCCCUAAGGCGAACCAAAGGGGUUAGCGGACUGCCUGCCCAACUCUCGCCAGGACUAACGGUUCAGUUUACGUCGAUCUAUUACGUUCCGGAACUUACCAUUGCGCGCAAACAAGUAAAAAUCACAAAAUAAAAAAAAAAUGAAAAAUCGAAGCCGAAAUUUAUCCAAACCACGGCCAAGCAUAUCUAUACAUUGGAAAUCAACAUUUACAAGCCAAACGGCAAACCAAGAUAUUCGUCUAGUUCAUACAUGUACCAAAAGCCAUUUACACACCAAACAUUGGUGGAAACAAAACACUUAGGGUUUUUACCCUCAAGAAGCUAUUCAAAAAUACAUGUACAAGAGCUUAACUUGUCAUCCAACUAUCACAAUCUUUUCCAAAAGUUUCAUUUUCCUGUAAGGAAAACAAAUGACACGGAAUGAGCUAUAUGCCCAGUGAGAAUACAACCACCAUAGCAGCUAAGAUCACAUAAGCAUAACCGUUCAGUUCAAGUAUGCAAAUAAGAAGUAAAUCAAAUCAGUGAAAGGAUACGGACGGCUCUCAAGAGCCCGUUUCCUCGCUUAUAUUCUUGAUCCAACCUCAUUGACCCUCCGUCAAUGUACAGAAAUAACCAACCGUAGACAACUCUUUACUUCCAUUCCUUCCACCCAACAUUCCGCAACCGGGCCCGCACUCCAAUUCAGUAGCUUUUGGUAAUACUCGAGUAUACCGGAACCAAGAGUCUCAUUACUACAAGGUUCCUCAGUACAGUCCCCGUGGCAUGACAAUUUUCACGACCAAGCCCUCGCCGGCUCGAUCCAAUUGACUACCAAACGGGGUUGAGCUCAGUAAUACAGUAAGGCCGUUGGACAUUCGUCCAAAUGACACCAAAGCAGUUUCCAUGAAAUGGAAUUCACCAACCAAUAUAUCAGGUUCAGUAAUGCAGUAAAACGGUAGCCAAUCAGUGAUACAAGUUUUACAGUAAUACAAGUGUCACCUCAUUAAUGCAAUCUUAUCACUUCUUUUUCUCUCUCACAUCAAUCAUUUCACACACUCUACUUAUCUCUUAACACCCGAUAAAUUUUACACAGUAUCCGAAACUUAACCUUAUUGGCCGAAUUUUUCCGAACUUUUCGCACUAGUGGGUCCCACGUCCAAUAUAUAUUCUUAAUUUUCUAAAAAUUCUCCAAUACUAGGAAAAUUAUCUAAAAACUAUAAUUACUCAUAAAAUUCACCAGAAAAAUAUUCCUAAGCCAGAAAAUGCAGAAAACAUGCAAUUAAGGGGUAAUAAACCCUAGGAAAAAUAUUAGGGUUUUACGGGUCCUCAUAAAGUUCUUCUAUUAUGACCCAACUUUUAACAAUUGCUACACCUGUUAGUGUUGAAAGAUGGCUCCCUACUGCUACCAUGUGCAAUUAACUGCUCUUGUGGUAUAAGCCGUGAAUAGAGCUACAAACGAGCCGAGUCGAGUCGAGUUUUGGCCUAAUCGAGUCGAGUCUCGACUAAAUUUUACCAAGCUCGAACUCGAGCUCGAGUUCGAUGAGCCGGCAAUUUAAAGCUCGAACUCGAAUCAAUUCGAGUCGAGCUCGAGUUAGAAAAAAAUAAAAAAUAAUUAUUUUAUUUUAAAAAAAAUAAAUAAAAUAAUAUUUUUUUCUUAAUAAAUAAUAAAAUAUUAAAGAUAUAUAUGUAAUUUUACUAUUAAAAUAAGAAAAUAAAAAUAUAUAUAUACUUAAAAUAAAAAUAUAUAUAUACUUAAAAUAAAAAAGUAAAAAAUAUUAUAUAUAUAUAUAUAUAUACUCGAGCUCGUGAGCCGAGCUUAAUAUUUUGAGCUCGGGCUCGAUAUUGAUCGAGCUUGACUCGAGCCGCUCGUGCGCGGCUCGAUUUGUUUGCAGCCCUAGCCGUGGGCAUUUUCUUUUAGUGUGUCCUUUGUCAUGGUAUUUUAAAGCAACUUAGUAGAGUGACUCCUGCUCUUGAUAGCUUUAUAACUCUAUUACUACCUUUUCGAGGCUCUUCUGGUUUCCUCCUUGCUUUCUUAAGCCUUUAAGGAAGUCUCAUUUUCUUAGGUGGCAGUAUAGGUUUCUUCGCCGAGACUUUCCACGCAUUUGGGCCACUUAUUGAAGCAAUAACGGGCUCAUAUGCAACCAAAUAUGCCUCUCUUGAAUAACACUUGUGCACAUAGUCCUUUGGUUUGCCAGAUACAAGUGAAAUGCAUGGAGCGACAUGACAACAAGGCAAGCUUGUGAGUUCCCACCUUCUACAAGUGCACGUACACUUGUCUAGGUCCACCACAUAGGUUCCACCAUAGAUGUAUUAUACUUCAAAUCUCUAGUCAUCCAACUGUCGAGCAAUAUUGGCAGCAUACUCGAUUUUGGCGUUUUCCAACUUGUUCUGAAUUUUUAGGUAAAUGUCAUUAUUCCGUUUCUUUAUCCAUUCUCUUUUUGUCCUUAAUCUUUUCAUAAGAUAAACUCUAAUGAUCUCGAGCAUACCAAGAAUUGGUUUUUCUCGAGCCUCUAGGAUGACUGAAUUAAAGUUCUCACACAAGUUAUUCAAUAGAAUAUCACACUUUGCUGCUUCUCUAAAGUGUGAUCUUGACCAGCGUGCUGGAUUUGUGUUGUCUAGCAGCUACUUGUGAGCAUUGCCAUCAUACUCUCUUAAAACUUCCAUUUCAUUUUCAAAUCUCUUCAUAUAAGAUGACCAUGCACACGCCCAAAAUCUAUCCUUUAUUGAUUGUACGGGGUGAAACUUUUUCAUGUUAUUGUGUAGGUGUCAUACACAAUGUCUAUGCUCUACUCUUGGAAUCGCUUAUUGAAUGACAGAUCCUAAACCCUGCAAGUGUAGACCAAUAAGCAAAAGUUGAUUCAUUGAAAUAGAAAAUAAAAAAAAACCAGCAAGCAUAAGCAACAAAAUAUUACCUUUUGCCUAUCACUAAUGAAGGUCCAACUCUUCUGUUCAUAAAUUGACAAGUCAUACUUUAAGAAUUCUAUGAACCCCUUCCACGAACUUUUAUUUUUCGACCUCUACUAUGGCAUAAGUAACAGGAUAGAAGCAAUAAUUUGCAUCGAUACCAAUUGCUAUUAACAAUAUUCCGGGGUCUGGACCCCUCAAGUGACAACCAUCCACCCCAAUCAACGUCUACAACUAGUUUUGAAACAUCUUUUCAAUACUUCAAAAAACAUAUGUACAAUCUUAGAAAUCUCUCCUUACCACUAAUUUCAUCAAUAGAGGUCUCCAUAUGCACUAUUGUCCCGGGAUUACAUGUAAGCAGCUCUUUACAAUAGUUCCAUAGUUUUAUGUAUUGGUUUUUGUAAAUACCAUGAAUCAACAACUUGGCCUUCAUGAAAGUCUUGCUUGCCUGGUCCUUGGUGAUGUUGACAUUGAGUUCAAGGUGAACUUUUUCCUUGAACUGUGCAACUGUCACCCUCUUGUUUAGCCUAAGGAAUUCCAUCUAAUCUCUACUUAAAAAACUUCAAUUGGCCCGUUUGUAAUAAAAUGUCCUACCACAAUGACAAGGUGAUCCCAUGGUUCGUAUGACAAAUGCAUCAAUAUCCACCUCUUUAGAAAUAUAAAUGAACCAGUUGCAAUUUGAUGCCUUGCAAUUGGCCCUCAUUCUUCUAAUAUCAAUCAUUUUCCAUCAAAAUACUUUUCCCCAUUUCACACCAUAGUAAUCAAUAGUUCUCUUGAAGAUUUGUUUAUCAUUGAACAAUAACCCAACAUAAAAUUUUGGGUCUGCCAUGUCAAUUUAGGCCUAAACCUGACAUAUUUUGGCUUCCUCAUCUGAAGACUCAUAGCAGCUAUUUAGCUCAUGAGUGUUGAUUGAGGCUGAUUGUUCAUGCACUAGAAUGACAUCUCCAUUAUAUAGAUUCAAAUCAUCAUCAGCUCCAUCUUUGAUACUUUAUUGUUUGCAUGCUGCUAUUCUUUCUACUGCAUCAUGAGCUGGUUUUGUGGCAUUGUUUCUACUGCCUCAAGUCUCUCCACCAGGUAGUGUUUCUCCCAUUUUCUAAUCAAUUUUAACUCUUUUUUAGCACUAGCUACAACUUUCUAAAAAAUCACAUCGUAUUCGUCUUUGCUAAAGUCAUAAUCACUAUCAUGAAAAUUUUCAACAUCGAUAGAUUCUAAUUCUGCAUCAUCAUCAACCUUGCAGGCAUCUUUUUCCUCAAUAACUUCAACUGGUACUAUAGUAUCUUCAAAAGUAGUGCAGUCAUUGAAGAUUAUGUCAACAUAGCAACAAUUUUCUUUUGAUACACUAGACUCACCCGUACUAACAUUACACUUGCCUAAUUUACUAUCCAAGAAUCUAAUAUGGAAUUCUUGUAUCAAAUAUAGUCCAACAUCACCAAUUUGGCUCCUUAUAGCAACCAUAUCUGCAAUAUCAUCUUCCCUAUCUAUUUUGCAAAAUUUAAAUUUAUCCUCUCUACCUAAAACUCUAUAAUACAAGUUCACAAUGCCUUCAUAUCUAAGCCAAUUACAGAAGGAAGAAAGACUAUUCAAACUCACUCGAGUUGUAAGGACACCCUCAAAUGAUUCCAUACUAUCCUCUACAUACUUUUCUUUUGGUGGUCCAAAAUAUGCCCCACCAUGAAAUAUUUUUAGGGUAAAAUAAUCCAAUCCGUGUCUUGUUUUUAUUUUUUUUCCAGAAAAAGACAAAAAAAAUUUAUUAAUUAUUCUCCAUGUGCUCAAACUUUAUUCUGUCCCUAUUUCCAAUAGCAUGAAAGCAAUAACAUUAUGCAAUUUUGCCAACAAAGGGACCAUAUAAGUUAAAGAAAAAUCGAAAAAAGCAAUAUUAUCCCAUAUCAUACCCCACAUUCAACCACCCAAAUCCCUGGUCCUUCCUUACCCAUGAAAUGGACAUGGUGCAUAAAAUCAAAAAAUGAUUCACAAUAAGUAAAGAAUCAAUAGAUUAUGUAACCAAAUCAUGACAACAGUUCACUUUAAGUAAAAGUAAUUGGACUUACCAUACUUUCCCACUGCCAUUUCACUGGUAUUAUCCUUUGUAUUCUUUUGUUCACCCAAUUGUUCUAUCCUUGGCAAUUCCAUGUCAUUCAGAUCAUUUUUCAUCAUCUAAUUCAUGUCCACUAAUGCAGAUUUCAAACAGCAACAAAAAGCCCUAAUUUGGUUUCACACACUCUUUCUUUCAUACGCUUUGCUAAUUUCUACCUUUUAAUCGUGUUUUUAUUUUCUAUCGAAGCAUUAAAAUGAUCUUGGCGUGAACUACCCAAAAAGCCCCUGAAUGGACAGCCGUCUAUUCGAAUAAAAGACUUGUUUGGGAGCAGCGCCGCAACACAGGUCCUUAAUUGGCGUAUAUAUUUUUACUUUGAGGACUAAUUGCAUAUAAAAAAACUUUAAGGGACUAAAUUGACAUUAGUAAAAAUAUUUAGGGACUAUAUUGGCAAAUUUUCCCUGAAUUUUUGCCUACUGAGUUUUUAGGAAAGUUUCGACCGAAUGCUUGACUAAUUCUCAAUUUAAUCAGGCAAAUGGAUCAAUUUGGUUCGGUUUGAGUUUGAAAACACGGGUCACAAAUAUUUUCCAAACCCAAUACAAUCAAAGCCAAUUUUAUUAAAUAAAAUCAACUAGUUUAUUUUUUUAAGCAUUAAAGGAAAAAAUGAUAGCUUAGCAAAAACAAAAAAAAAAUCAUGAAAAAAGGAAAAAAAAUCAGCAGCUUAGCAUAAAGAAAUAAACUUUAAAAAGAGUGAAAAAACAAGGAAGUGUACAAAUGAAAGGAAAAAUUGGUAUAAGGUAAAAAAAGAAGGAAAAAUAAAGAUAAUUAACCGGGGCAUUUUAAACCUUGAGUUUAUGGUAUCUUUUGAUAGAGUAGUAGUAGAGAAUUGAGGUUGCAAGUCUAGGGACAAGCGGGAGAAUAAAUCUAGAAAAUAAAAAAGGUAUGGAGGAGAGCUAGAGAGAAAAGAGAAUAAGAAAGGGAGAACUGAGAGAGAACAACAAAUGUCAGCUUACUAGAUUAGUCUUUAGUGUUUGAAAAACUUUGAUUCCUAUUGCAAUUUAAUAUGAGAAAAUUGAAAAAUUGUAAUUCACGAUUCAAACUGAGUAUUAUGAUUUCAACGGUCUUAAUCAGUCUUGACUGAUUUUGGUGACUGGUCAACUAUAGAUAUGAACUAGAUAAGAGACAUUGCCAAUUCGCAAUCCCACCAAUCAAAUGUGCUAAUCCAAUUCAAACUUUAAAACAUUGUUGUAGGGACUUCAAAUUCAACUAGGGAAGAUCCACUUUACAACUUGACAGGUCCCCAAAAUAAUUGGUGGUGUUCAUAUUUCAAAAAAAAAACUUAAAAACUAGCCAAUCCAAUAUAGAUCAGAUUUUUUAUUUUGGUAAAAUGGAAUUAAAAAAAUUGAAACAUAAUGUUCAAUAAAAAAUUCACUUUAACAUUUUUCUUGGAAGUCAAAUUUUGAUGGAAGUUGACAUGUUGGAGUUUUGCUUGAUGAUUAAAUUUGGACUUCUUGUUUAUUUCAAUGUUAUUUAAGAAUUGAGAUCAUGAGUUGUGACUUAGGAUUACGAACCUUUUUUUUUUGUAUAUCAUGUUUAUUUGAGUUAAGUUAAUUGAAUUUGUUUGGCAAAAUAUAUAGGAUAUUAUUUUGUUACAAUAAUUUUUUAGAGAAAAAUAAAAUAUUUUAACUCACUAUUGACAUUUCAGAUUUUGGAUAUUACCGAAUUACGAGUUCUCCGAUCCAAUUUAAUAACUAAAAGUUGGAUGGUAAUCAAAUAUUGAUAUUAAAAAAUUGAUUGCCAAAUUAUUGAAAUUUUUUUAUCAAAUUUCCUGAUUACCGACUAAUGAACACCCCAAAAACUAAACAUCAUCUAAAAAGUAAUAGGCCAGGUUACUUCCUUGUCAAAAAGCGCAACAUCUCUGAGUAGUAUCCUCUUGUUGACACGAUUUUCAGGAUGGUCCCGCUUUACAUGGUGUGGUUGUUUAAUAACGAUUACUAGAAUUUAGAGUUUAGCUCUAGGGUUGUGUCAAGUAGACGUGGAGCCUUUUAACUAUAGCCCAGUUUGAUAAGAGCCGAAAUAUUUAGGGAAAAAGUCCCAAUGACCCUCGAACUUUUGUCCUAGAGGACUUUUGGCCCUUCAAUAAUUAAAAGUAAACUUUUGGCCUCCAAUUUAUCAAAAAGUGCCAAAUGUUGGUCCUUUUGUCAGUUCCAACAGUUAAGAACGAUGGAAAACAUCAUCACGUGCGUUUCAUGAGAAAUUAGCAAGGGCAUUCUUGCCUCAUUAACUCGACAAUAUAUAUGGAGUAAAAGGCAGCCAACCUCUUUACUCCAUGGAAGAUGGUCUAACCAUAGCAAAGAAAGACCCUCUCCAUUGCAGUCCACAAAGAUGGGAUGCAACGCAUUGCAACCUCCACAACCAGGGGAAUAAAAGUCAACUAUAACCAAUCUAUCACCAGCAUUUAUCAAUGAAUCCACAAGUUCUUGUGCAGAAUGGAUCUCAAUCAUGUUGGCCUUAAGAGUCUUCUCUCACAAUCUCAAAGCUUUGCAAACACUAAUUGAUGCUUGUACCUAAAUAUAUUCAUCAAAAUUUGAGCUAUGUAACUUUGAAGCCACAUAUAAAUAUUUAAAGUAAAAAAAAUUUAAAAAUGGUCAAGAACAUGAUUCAUACCCUAUAAUAAAAAGUAGCUGAAGCUUUGACAUCCCAAUAGGUUGAAUUUAAUCCAUUCGUUUCCUUAUGAAAUCUUUUAAUCUUAAAUCUGAAAACUGGAGCGUCCCAACAGAUGACAAAACCACUAAAGACCCCUUGGCUUUAGGAUUACGAAGGGUAUCACUUGAACCAAAAACACAAAUGAGUCUUCAAAUAACAAGCCAUUUUUUAUACUUCCUAAACAAAUAUUUCAAGCUUAUAACAUUAAAAGAUUGAAAACCCAGAAAAACCCACUUCUCUUUUUGGAUCAAGAACAAUUCUUUCUAUCCAAUGGAUAUGAAAUUCCAAGAAAGAUACCUUCUUUGUUGCUCAAAUGCCAAACUUGUAGCUUUGUACCUAGAAAGAAACACAAAAAAAAAAGAAAAAAACAAAUCCUUUGUUUGACAAUUUAUUUAUUUUUUAUGGUUUAGUGUUGACCUUGGCCCCUAACUUUUGACGUUUACAAAACAAUGGAUAAUACUAAUAUUUCUUCAAAAUAUACUUUCAGUUAUGAAGUUAUUUAAUUUCAUGAACAAGUGCAAUUGAAAGAAAACAAAGGUUGCUGAAAGCUGUCGGACGCUUGUGAUGACAGUACCGGAUAUCCGAUAAUCAUUUCACAACUUCGGAGGCAUGCUUCGGACGUCCGAUAGGAUCCUUCGAAAUCGACGAAACCAUCGGACGCUGAAUAUGUUUCCACCGGACGUCCGAUAGAAUUGAAGAAAAUUUCUCAAACUUACUGCCUGCUAUCGGACGCAAAAAACAGGAGUACCGGAUGUCUGAUACUCCAAACGGCUAGUUGACUCUUCAACUACUUUCUAUUCGUUGGAAGUAUUAAUAAGGCACUUUCUUGGUCCUAUAUAAAUAGUGGUUGGUCAGAUACAUCAAAUAACUUUUGCACACUGAAGAUACAAAAGAUCUAGAGUAAUUUUAGUGAGAAAAUACUUUUCAAAGAAGAUUUGUAGUCUUAGUGGUGUGAGAUUCAUUGUAAACUUUCAUUUGUGAGUGAAUAUUUCAUGAGUGUAGCUCUGUGAGGGUUAUCUUGAGGGAUAGUAAAACUUCCUGACUUGACCGAGUGGUAUUCGGAACAAGGAGGAGGUGAACCUUUCUUUGUGCGCAAGAGUGAUCGUAAUUCAUUAACUUGAAGAAGCUUAUUUGAAUUAAUCUACAAGCUCAAGAGGAGUUGGGUAGUUAAUUGGUUUGCAAUUUUUUCCUUUUUAUUUAUUUAUUGUUACAUUUGUGAUCUUUACACUGCUUAUCUCUUUCACUUGGUUGUCUUCGAUUCUUACAAUUGGUAUCAAAACUUGGUCUCCUAGAGAUUAAGUUCAAUCGGCUUGGGAGUAAAAAUGACAACCAAUAAUGCCAUGUUUUUUGAAGGAUAUUCUGUCAUUAGACCACCUAUGUUUCAUGGGUCAAAUUAUGUGAGUUGGAAAGAAAGAAUGAUUAUCUUUUUGUAAUCUAUUGAUAUUGAAUUGUGAUUUAUUAUUAGUGAAAGUCCAUAUGAUGCCUCUCUUAUAGAUGAAAAUACUCAUAGAUCUAGACCAAAAACAAGAAGUGAACUGACUGCUAUAGAUAAAACUCAUCUCACUUUAAAUGCAAAAGCCAUGAAUGUGUUAUAUUAUGCUUUAGACUCAAAUGAAUCUAUUAGAGUCAAAGGCUGCAAGUCAGCUAAGAAAAUUUGGGAUAAAUUGAGAGAAAUUCAUGAAGGUAGUGAGAAUGUUAGAGAACAAAAAAAGUCCAUUCUAGUUACAAAGUAUGAAUCUUUUAAGAUGAAAUCUCAUGAAAAUAUUGAUGAGAUGUACUGUAGAUUCAGCGACCUUAUUAAGGAUUUGGAGGUGCUGGAAAGGAAUACUCUCUAGGUGAGAAAAACAGAAAAAUUCGGAAUGCUUUUUCGAAUGAUUGGGAGAGUAAAGUAACUGCCAUUGAAGAAGUCAAAGAUCUAAAUACCUUGCCUAUUGAAUCUCUCAUUAAUUCACUAACUUCUUAUGAGCUAAAACUCAAGUCCAAGGUGCAGGAAGAAGAAGACACAAAAGUGAGAAAGAAUAUUGCUCUGAAGGUUUCAUAAGAUGAAGAUGAUACAGCCUCCGUAAGUGAAGAUGACAUGGAAGGUGAUGAUAGUGAUAUUGCACUCAUCACACGAGACUUCAAAAGAAUACUCAACAAAAGGAGAUUCAGAAGAGGAGGACUAGUAAUUCAGAUUCUAAUAAAUUCAACAGUACAAAAAACAAAGGAAGAUAUGAGACCAAAAAAAAGUAAAAUGACAAAUGCUAUAAAUGUGGCCAAUUUGGACACUACGUGAGUGAGUGUCCAAUAAAGAAGAGAAAAUGUGAAAGAAAACCAAGAUUCAACAACUUUCAAUUCACAUGGAAUGAAUGCAAAUCCGAUAGUGAAAUUGAAGAGGAAGAAAAAUCUGUUCAAUUGGUUUUUAUGGUCAUUAGAGAUGAUGAAGUAACAUCUUCUAACUCUCAAUUUGAAAGUAAUGAUGAAACUGAUGAUGAUUUUGAAUCUUUCAUUAUAAAAUUGCAUGAUAGUUUGAAAGAAUCUUAUGUUAGAAACAAGAAAUUAAAACAUAAAAUUAGUUUUUUUCUUUAAGACAACGCAAAUCUUUUUCAACAAAACAAAAAGUUGAAAGCUGAAAAUGAUUACUUCAAAAAGAGUGAGACUGCUUUACACUAAAAACAAAGUUUUGUGAAUUGUUCAAAAAGGAACAAGGUGAUUUGAAAAGAAGAAUGGAUGGUUUAAAUGAGUUGCUUAAACACAAGAAACAAGUCUGUUUUCAAAAGAAUAGUUUGAAUUCUAAUUCCAACGAAUUUGCUAUUUAUAAGAAAAGACAAGUAAAAUUUAUUAAACCUGUUCAUAUAAAUAACUCCUUGAUUAUGUGUAAUUUCUGUUGUCAAAAAGAUCACAUAAAAAGUGAUUACUAUGUGAGAAAGAAUAUGAAAAAAGGCAUGAAAUGCAUGUGGAUAGUUAGACAUGAUACUAAGUCUAACAAGUAGGAGAUAUUGGUAAGAUUGAUGAGAUUUUUGUUCAUAAUAUUUUUUUGUAAUUCUCUUUUGAUAUUUCUGAUGUUUUGAUAUGAGUUUUCCUUGAUUUUUUACUGAAUUUGUAUGAUGUCAAAAAGGGAGAAAAAAGAUUAAUGCUGAUCUCAUGAUGAUUUGCUGUGAUAUGUUGGUGAUUUCUGUCAUUUCUCUGUUUUUAUUUGAAAUAUUGGAUUCUCUGUUAUUGUUGUUGGAUUUUGGCAACUGGUUUUUACUCUCAUCUUAUGAUGACAAAAAGGGGGAGAAAUGGAUGCUAUGUGUUAUGGGGAGUUAUUCUGAGAUUAUAAGUUUGAAUGCAAUGAGUAAGGGGGAGCUUAUGCUCAUUUGCUCAAUCUUUUUCUUUUUUCCAUCUAUUGUUUUGUCAUCAUCAAAAAGGGGGAGAAUGUUGAUCUUGGUCUCUAACUUUUGAUGUUUACAAAACAAUGGAUAAUACUAAUUUUCUUCAAGAUAUACUUUCAGUUAUGAAGUUAUUCGAUUCUAUGAACAAGUACAAUUGAAAGAAGACAAAGGUUGCUGAAAGCUGUCAGACGCUAGUGAUGACAAUACCGGACAUCUGAUAAUCAUUGCACAACUUCGGACGCAUGCUUCGGACGUCCGAUAGGAUCCUUCGAAGUCGACGAAACCAUCGGACGCUGAAUAUGUCUCCACCGGACGUCCGAUAGAAUUGAAGAAAAUUUCUCAAACUUACUGCCUGUUAUCAGAAGCAAAAAACAGGAGUACCGGACGUCCGAUACUCCAAUGGCUAGUUGACUCUUCAGCUACUUUCUAUCUGUUGGAAGCAUUAAUAAGGCACUUUUUGAGUCCUAUAUAAAUAGUGGUUGGUCAGAUACAUCAAACAACUUUUGCACAUUGAAAAUACAAAAGAUCUAGAGUAAUUUUAGUGAGAAAAUACUCUUCAAAGAAGAUUUGUAGUUUUAGUGGUGUGAGAUUCAUUGUAAGCUUUUCAUUUGUGAGUGAAUAUUUCCUGAGUGUAGCUCUGUGAGGGUUAUCCUGAGGGAUAGUAAAACUUCCUGACUUGACCGAGUGGUGUUCGGGGCAAGGAGGAUGUGAACCUUCCUUUGUACGCAAGAAUGAUUGUAAUUCAUCAACUUGAAGAAGUUUAUUUGAAUUAAUCUACAAACUCAAGAGGAGUUGGGUAGUUAAUUGGUUUGCAAUUCUUUCUUUUUUAUUUAUUUAUUGUUACAUUUGUGAUCUUUACACUGCUUAUCUCUUUUACUUGAUUGUUUUCGAUCCUUACAUUUAGACCUAAAGAGAUAUGAUGAGGCUUAAUGGAGGAAGAGGGAGCAAGAAAGCAAAGGUGAAUGGGGUAAUAAACAACUAAAAUAAUAGAAAGGGGAAAAGGGAUAUAAUGAUGCUUGUUGAUCUUGAACAUUGUUCGAUUUUCUUGUCCAAGAGAUUUAGACACGGGAAGUAAAUUUCUUCCAUGUUUGAAGUAAAGAAAAGGCGCUGUAAAAUACUCCUUCAAUUAGGUUUUUUUUACGGCCUUUCACUCGAUGAAUUCUCAUGGGUGGAUGAGAAUGCCCUAUUAAUUCCUCAUGAUUACACAUGAUGUUGUUUUUUAUCAUUCUUAACUGCUAGAAUUGACAGAAGGACGUACAUUUGGCACUUUUAGUAGAUUGGGGGCAAAAUGUUUACUUCUAAUUAUUGAAGGGCUAAAAGUUCAUUUGGACAAAAGUUGGAGGGUCAUUGGGACUUUUUUCCCAAAUAUUUAUUGGUAUGUGGUUUGUAAGGGAUAAUUGUUAGCUUCUUUUCUUUGUUGACUUAUUACUUUUAGUUUUUUUAAAGGUUUUGCAUUUAUUUUUUAACAAAAAAUAAAUUUCAUUAACGAGAUGGCAGAAAUCAUUCGGCAUGAGUUGAUUUAUAUCACAGAAGUUUGCACUAAUGACAAGUUAAACAUCCUUUUAAAAUAAUAACAUACAUGUAAUUUAACAAAUGUAAUGAUUUGAAAAUUUAAAAAAAAAUUCAAAACUUUUGAUAAUAAGAUAAAUCGCUACAAUUCUCUUCCAUAUAUGUUACAAUCGCCAGAUUUAUUAAUCAACUCUAAUAAUAAUUAUGGGAUUGGUAGAGAUAGGUGGUCUGCUAAUAAUAUAUAUAUCCUCUCUCUCUCUCUCUCUCUCUCUCUCUAUAUAUAUAUAUAUAUAUAUAUAUUCGUGUAUUUUAAAUGUCUGUUUUUUGAAAAGAUUGUAUAUCAAUUCAUAAAUGUCUUUGUUAAUAUUUACUCAAUAAGCAUAAUGACAACCCUUUUUCCUUUCAAAACACUUGGUUGUUCCAUCCAUCGAUGCACAUGCGAUCGGAUGCGUUCAAGCAGUCCUUGUUCACAGUUUUGUCAGUAUAUAUUUUUUACUAUUUUAGUUCUAACUUAGAAUUACUUGUAAUUAAUUAUACAGGCACAGAAAGAAUCCGUUGUUGGGUAAAUUAUGGGAAUUUUCUACGAAAAUAGCUAACACAUACAAAAGCAAUACAUUAUAUAGACAAAUACUAUCUAUAGAAUCAAAUAUGCAAAUUUAAUUUCAACUAAAGUGAUGGAUACGUCUCAAUAACACCAUCCGAUUAAUUGUGUAUUGUACAUGCACAACUAUAUGUAUUGGUUCAAAUGUAUAAAAUUAGUGUCUCUGUAUCUUGUCUCUUCAAUUGUAAUUAAUGGUAAUCUUUUAAGCCCUUCGUUACUUAACUUUCACAUAACAUACUAGCCUCUAAUAUCUUAAUAAGGUGAUGUAUCAAUUGAAAUACUAAUGUCUAGGCUCCAAAGUAAACUAAAUCGUUAACUCUUGGAUCUCUCUCAAUCUUACAAGUCGCAUGCCAAAAAAAAAAAACUCUCUCUCUCUCUACACACAUUUAUCCACAAAUCAAACAAAAAAAAAAAAAAAAAAAGAGCAAGCGGUUAGACGAUAUAGCAGUUUCAUCAAAAAUUUUUAACCAAGGGACCACCUCUUUCAUCGAGGUAUUUUCUUGCUUUUAAUCAUAUUAAAUCAAUGCUUUGUUGCUUAAUUUUCUCUUGUUUUGUUGGUUGUUAGUGUAUUGUUGAAAUUUGGGAUGCGUCAUGAGCAAGGAUGGGGAAUAGAUAAUGGUUUUUGUGUAUGCCCUCCAUAUGUUUGAAAAAAUGCCUCAAUGGAAACUAAGUUGAAGAAAUGAAUUUUGUGCAUAUAUUUUUGUUAAAUUAGAUGACAUUAACUAGUUCAUGGCCUGGAAAAAAAAAUUUUAUGAAAAAUUUCGAGUUUUUUUUAGCCUAAAAAGCAAGAAAUAGGUUUUUUAAAGUUAGGGACUGUUUUGCGUUAAUUCAUCAUUUUUUGUACUGUUUCUUGUUAAAUUGAAUUUGCAGUUGUGUUGUAGAUUUCGUAAGGGUCGUUUUGCUAUAUUUUCCAUGGAUUUUUGUUAUGGUUUAGUUGAGUUUUAGAAAAACAAAACCCGACUGUAAAUUCAUCAUUUGACCCCUUUUCGUGCAUUUUUGUCAAAAAUCAAGUCCGGAAAUGAAUUCUACACGAAAAAUUGAGUGACGAGGUGUAAUUUGGUGAAUUUUUGCGAGCGGAAGCAAGCGGUGGUCCGAUGGCGGCGCCGCUGCCAGCGGCCGCUAUGAUUGUCGGCAAGAAGCUUGGUCUAGCCGGAGGUGAGGAAGAAGAAAAAGAAGAAGAAAGAAAAAAAAAAAAAAGAGAGAAAUAAAAGAAAAAAAGAGGAAAGGAAAAAAAAAGAGUGGGCUUGGGCUUGUUUCUUUAAUUCGCAUGGGCUUGAUUUUUUUUUUCGUUUGAGUUUUCACCUAAGUUUGGAAUGGUUAAACCCAAUACAUUUCUUAGUUGGGUUUCUAGGAGGUUUAGUUAGGUUCUUUCGUGUUUUUUAACUAGCAAUCUUCACUUUUCUCUUGGGCCAAAAUUGUGUGGCCAAAAUAUCAAGUAGUCCAAAUUUGUUUUGUUUGCAUUCUUCUUAAAUUAGAAACGAUUUUUUCAAUUGGCCCCUAAUCUUUUGAGUAAUUUUAUUGUAAUAUAAAAAUUUUAGAUUUCUUUUAUUUCAACCCUUAGUUAAUUGUAUUUUAGCUCAUAAACUUUAUCUUUAUUUAAUUUUGACCCUCUAGUUUUUUAAAAUUCUAUUUUGACCCAAAUGUUUUUAUUUUUACAAUUUAGUCCCUAGUAGUUUUAGGAUUUCUCAAUUAUAAUUGUCCCUUCCUUUAAUUAUUAAUUAUGCUUCUCUUGCAUGCAUUUAAAAUGUAAUUUUUGAGUGUUUUGAGUUUAUUUACAUUUUUAAACAUAAUAAUGUGAAUUUAGUACAUUUUUUUAUAUUUCCAAUUAACUUGGUGCCAUGACCCUUUUGUCGAUUUUGAAUAUACACAUGGUAACCUUACCUCAUUUAGUCACCACUUCAAAUGGGAGGUAUCUUUUAUUAUCUUUUGGAUUUUAAUUACAUGAUCUUUUGUGCUCCUAUAUGUUUACAUGUAUUUAUAUGUUUUCUUUUAUUUGUUUAUUUUAAAUUUCUAUUCAAUUUUUAUUUAUUUUUAGUUAAUUUUUAUAAUUAUUUGGGAUGUACUUAGAUACCUCAAGAUGUAAUAGAAAGAUAAUAUUUUCUUUUUCUUUUUUCGUUUCUUUCUUUUACAAAAAAUUGUAAUUAGGUAAACCAAUAUAAUAGAUACGAUAGAUAAAUUAAUUUUGUUAUAUUUUUUCAUUUUAGAUUGUAGUUAGACCCCCAAUAUAAUCAAUGGAUUUUGUGUGUUUACGUGUCUUAUGUGUUUAUGUGUUUUAUCAACUUUCUUUAGGAUUUUGCAUUUAAAUAUCAUGCCUACGUGCUAUAUGCUCUAUGUGAUCCUAUGUGUUUAUUUGUUUUAAUCUAUCUUUUAUAUGUUUUAUUAUAAAUGAUAAAUGCAUGACGUUACUACACUAGUUCAACGCUAGUUGUGAUUUUUCCUUUCGUGCUCUUACUAGUCCAACCCAAUUCAGAUUAUGUUGCUGCAUCGAAAAUUAAGCUUGAAACAAGAUAUUAUAGUGUUUCAAAGUAAGGGAGUUGAUGAAUAUACAUAAUGACAGCAAUAUUGCCUGUGGAACAUUGGAAGUGAAGUAAAGAGAUGUCAUUUUUAAUUAUUUUUUCAUUGUCAUAAGAUUUUAAUAUGUAUUAGAUUUCUAUUUAGUUUAGUUUGCUAGAUUGAAUGGAUUUGGAGGUUGUUUUUCCUCAUUUGUGAAGUUAUUGGUUGGCUCAUAUGUGUUUGAGUUUUCAAAGUUGGUUCAUAUGCGUAGGGAAUGUAUACAAAAAAGGAAAACACCAAAGUGCAUGUACUAUUUAUGAUAUUUAAUGUUAUAUAUAUUUAAUAUAUAUUUAUGACAUCAUGAUGACUUCACUCGGUUCUUAUACCAGUCUGACCAUGGUCGAACCCAUUGACCCUUUACCCCUGAGCUCGACCGAGUCAUUACCCAAUCCAAGUUUCAAAAUAUAGUUUGUGACAAGACAAUUUUCCUUGGUUUUUUAAUGUUUCAACUUAUAGAGAUUACUAAUCAAGAAACAAUUGAUUAUGAAACAACUUUUCCUAAAUUCAUAAUGUAAAGAAGGAUGUUGAUAUCCAUAUUUAAUGGUGUAUUGGCUUCUUCUAGUCAAUUUCUUCUUACAUACAACUUAGAGUUUGGCUCUGGACUUCAGGAGUUGAUUAUUGGGAUGUCUGCCCAAUCUUAUUGGAAUCUACUGGAAGGAGAAAAUGAUCUCACUUAACUUAAAUUUAAAGUUGUUUUUAUCUUUUAAUUAUUUGGUUUCACUUAACUUUUGCCUUUUCUGGAGUUGGUUUAAAUGAUGAAUAUCUUGGUGAACUUGCUUCAGGAGUUUGUGUUUGAUUUGCUGGUAUCAGAUGAGGAUGAAGACUUGGAAAGAGUUUUUUUAAGUUAUCUAGUUACCUAAUGAUGAAGAUGAUGAUAGGCCUUCAUUGAUGUUGCUUGGAUAUUUUGAACUGGAUUCUGGACUUUUAUGUGAAUGUUUGUUUGUUGGUUCUAGUGUCUGGAAUUCUAAUUGGGUUGACUUUUAUGUUGGUUCUGAUUCUAGAAUUUUGAAUUUUAAUUUAAAUUCUUAUGAUUUUAGUGUGGUUGUAAUGGAGUUCGUAUGCUACAGAUGAUUUUUCUUUGAACUUUUGAAUUCUUUUUUCAGGAAUGAGGAUGCAUUUAUUUAUCUUAAGAGUCCUGCUUUACAAUUCCUAAAAUAUUGUGGAAAUCUCCUAUUUUUUUGGGAGAUUUUGAAUAUGUAUGGCAUGUGAUGUGUUCUCCUGUUGGCAGGUACGUAAUAUUUUUAAAAAGAAAAAAGAGAACUGUUGAACCGUGGUUGAACCAUGACCUGGCCACUCAUCUGAUUCAUUUGCCAGUCCGAGUUUCAAAGCAUUGCUCUAAAGGCUGUUAAAUUUUUUCUUUAACUGGAGAGCGCAGAAAUUGUCCCACCUACUACUAACUUGUAAGUAGUAACUGCUAAGGUUGAAGAAUUUUGGUGGCUGUGAAAGAUGGUCCCUCCUAAGAAAUCCAAGAAAAAGAAGAAUGAUUCAAAACAGUUAAAGAAAACCAAGAAUAAGAAGAAGGGCAAGCCCAAGAGUAUAAGACCACCAGUACCUUUGGAAAAUGGAGCCGCCAUUGAUUCUGAUUGGUGGAAUUCUUUCUGGACUAAGAACUCUUCGACCCCAGGUAUCCAUUAUUCUUUAAUUUCUUUCAAAAAAAAAAAAUUCGUUUUAGAAAUUCUUGUUUCAUAGGAUCCCACUUGAAAGUGUCCUCAAUUUCGGUCAUCCUGAAUCCACAGUUGUCUAGACUUUGGAUUUUGGAGUGUUAUGUAGGCCAUUCUUCUGCAAGGCCCAAGUGUUAAACAUAUUUUGAAGUGAAAUUCUUUUAUGCCUUGUGUUUCUUGGUUCAGCUUGUUUUUCUUUGUUAGGCGAAAUAUGAUAGAAGUCAAAUUGAACCAGUUAAAGAAAACAAAGGGGUAAGAACAGCCUUUAGAUGUUAAACCAUUAAAGCAAGCUAGAAUUAGCUGGGCAUAUUAUGUUUUCAUAUAGGGAUAGCUCUUAAGUGAUCAGCUCAUUCAGUUCUGACUGAGAUUUGGCUCAAAUUUUCAGAUUCCAAUGUACCUUCUGAUGAAGAAGAAGGAUUCAAAUAUUUUUUUCGCGUAUCAAAAAAGACUUUUGAGUACAUAUGCUCACUUGUUAGAGAAGAUCUUAUCUCGAGGCCUCCUUCUGGUCUCAUCAAUAUUGAGGGAAGGCUUCUCAGUGUGGAGAAGCAAGUUGCUAUUGCUCUAAGAAGAUUGGCUUCUGGUGAAUCCCAGGUUUCUGUUGGAGCUUCCUUCGGAGUUGGCCAGUCCACUGUUUCCCAGGUGACAUGGAGGUUCAUUGAAGCACUAGAAGAACGUGGCAAGCACCACCUUAGUUGGCCUGGCUCCAGUAGAAUGGAGAAAAUCAAGUCUGAAUUUGAACUGUCUUUUGGCUUACCUAACUGCUGUGGCGCAAUUGAUGCGACACACAUUGUGAUGACACUUCCGGCCGUUCAAACGUCGGAUGAUUGGUGUGACCAAGAAAAUAAUUUCAGUAUGUUCUUGCAGGGAAUAGUUGAUCAUGAGAAAAGAUUUUUAGAUAUUGUAACAGGUUGGCCAGGGGGAAUGACUGUGUCCAGGCUAUUCAAGUUUUCUGGAUUUUACGAACUUUGCAAGUCUGGUGAUCGGAUGAAUGGCGAUAUCAGAAGGUUAUCUGAAGGAGCUGAUAUCAGAGAGUAUAUAGUUGGUGGUGUUGAUUAUCCUCUUCUUCCAUGGCUUAUAACUCCCUAUGAAGAUGAUGAUGACCUUUCAGCUGCCAUGCUGAAUUUCAAUAAGAUGCAUGAGGCUACAAGAUCGGUUGCUGUAAAGGCAUUCUCGGUGCUCAAGGGCAGUUGGAGAAUUCUCAACAAGGUUAUGUGGAGACCUGAUAAGAGGAAAUUGCCGAGUAUUGUCUUAGUCUGUUGUUUACUUCAUAAUAUAGUUAUUGACUGUGGAGACAGUUUGCAUCCAGAUGUUGCAUUGUCCAGUCAUCAUGACUCAGGUUAUACCGGCCAGAGAUGUAAACAAGUUGACCCUUUAGGGCAGCUGUUGAGGGACAACUUAGCUAAAUACUCGCUUCAUUGAAAUGAAGGCUUCAUGCACUUGAUUUAUCCAAUUGUUCUUCUAUUCCAAGUUCCAUGUGCUGAUCUGACCUAUUCUUAUGUUGCAACCCGCGAAUGAAUCUUCAUUACUGUGUAAAAUGUAGUGGUGAUUAUAUAUAUAUAUAUUUGUUUAUAUUGACUGCAUUCUGUGGAUAAUCGUUCUUGAUUGAAACCAUUUAAUUCGUUUGUGUCGGACCCUUUCAGUUUAUGACCAACGAAUUUGAAUAAAAAUCAAGGAGAUACCUUUCUCCUGUGUUUCAAAAAGUGGUUUUUUAAACUGCUUACCAUAUGACUCUGUGUAGCUUAGCUACAAUGGUUAUGUCCCUUCUUUACAACUGGCGUUGUUUUACCAAUUGAUCUGUCGAGGUCAGUGGAGUUCAUAAUUCGAAAGAAUGCUGCUUUGGCUUGUUCUGUUUGACUAUUGCACUAGAAUUGAUAAAUGAUGAGAUCUGCGACCAUAACAAAUGGAUUGUUUGUUGGCAAAAAAAAAGACCAUAAUAAAUGGUAUCUUUUAGCAAUUCCUCACCGGAGGCAUUGUUACUUGUUAAAUGCACUAAGCAACUAAAAGAUUUGGUUUGCUUUCACUUAAUUUGUUGGAAAUAUAGUAAACUUUUGGAGGUGAAAAAUUCUUCCGUCUGUCCUCUAUUCGCCAUUGGCCUGGAUUGAAAAGAACACCUUGCAUCAUCUAGUCUUGUUUUAGUUGUUGGUUUAUCAAAUGCAGUUGUUCUGCCCUAAGGUGGUUCGUGUCAUUGGAUUCUGUUGUUUUUUGAAAGUUUCGAAUAUCAACUUUUGCUUGAAAAAACUUAUAAUGGUAGAUGGGGAUCAAAUGAUUGUCAGAUAAACUGUUCUUCCACGAUUUUGUUCAAUUCAACAAAAUGCUCAAAUGAUUGCCAAGGUUACUAGGUGAGUCGUCCUGGGAUUAGAAACUAGGAAAGUCACCCACUAAUCCCUAGCUUUGGGAAUUACUAGAAUAGGAGGAAUAUUGUAGGAAGAUUUAGGAACCAAGGAUAAAAGCUACUACUCUACUGCCAAGCUAGUGAGGAAUGGGAAGAUCAACGGCUAAAGGAUGUGAAGGAAUUUUUUAGGUUACAAAAUAGUGAUACGUAGUGGAUUUUAUUCACGUAAAAAAUGAAUAAUCUGUAUUUAAUUAGAUCAAAACAGAUGGGAGGAGCUACCACUUGCUAUACCAUUUAGAAUUUUAUAGGCCAAUAUCCAUUUUCAAAUUCAUUUGAACUGGGUUAAUUUAAGUAAUUUCAUUCUGGGGAUUUCCUCAUUUUUGGUAACCUUUCAAUCCGGUUUGUUUUUCUUCCCAAUCCAAAUGCUGCUCAAAAUAAACGUAGGUUUCAUGUUCGAUUUAUUUCCUUCUUAUUCCCUCAUCCUUUAGAAAAGUUGAUAGUGUUCGAGUCUUUUAGCUCCCUCGUUCACCAUCACAUCCAUAUCUCCCAGAGUAAACCAAUUCCAAGUGUGUUCAAGCUUGAUGAUUUUAAAGUUCACAAACAUAAAAAGGCCUAUCAUGUUUGUACUUCGGCAGGAUUGUGCUUUAGCUCGAACUCAAGGAACUUUCACAUACUCAAGUUCUCUGUACUAACACAGCCUGCGUCUAGCAAUGAUCUGAAGAAAGGGAAGAUUUCUUUGAUGACGCAAAAUUAGUGCCAUACAAUUAACCUUUCGUGCAUGAAAUAAUUCAAGGGUGAAAGCCAAAACACACCAACUCAGGUUUUUUUUUAGAACAAAGCGAGAACAAUAGGAUAAACAAAUGUACUUGUAAAACUAAAAGGUCGUAAAAUAAAGUGUUUGAUUUUCCAAAACAAUAACAUUUUGGUAAAACAUAAUUGAUGAGAUAAAAUGGCUGGUGCUUAUGCUUCCGGGACAUGAGUUGGCAAGACUGUUUUGCCAUGGCUUCCACAUUAUUUGACCAGCAACAAAAGCCACCUCCUG